AUGGGAAAGACUAGAGAUCUCUUCAAGAAAAUUAGAGAUACCAAGGGAACAUUUCAUGCAAACAUGGGCUCAAUAAAGGACAGAAAUGAUAUGGACCUAAGAGAAGCAGAAGAUAUUAAGAAGAGGUGGCAAGAAUACACAGAAGAACUAUACAAAAAAGAUCUUCAUGACCCAGAUAAUCACGAUGGUGUGAUCACUAAUCUAGAGCCAGACAUCCUGGAAUGUGAAGUCAAGUGGGCCUUAGAAAGCAUCACUACGAACAAAGCUAGUGGAGGUGAUGGAAUUACAGUGGAGUUAUUUCAAAUCCUGAAAGAUGAUGCUGUGAAAGUACUGCACUCAAUAUGCCAGCACAUUUGGAAAGCUCGGCAGUGGCCACAGGACUGGAAAAGGUCAGUUUUCAUUCCAAUCCCAAAGAAAGGCAAUGCCAAAGAAUGCUCAAACUACCACACAAUUGCACUCAUCUCACAUGCUAGUAAAGUAAUGCUCAAAAUUCUCCAAGCCAGGCUUCAGCAAUACAUGAACCAUGAACUCCCUGAUGUUCAAGCUGGUUUUAGAAAAGGCAGAGGAACCAGAGAUCAAAUUGCCAACAUCCGCUGGAUCAUGGAAAAAGCAAGAGAGUUCCAGAAAAACUUUUAUUUCUGCUUUAUUGCCUAUGCCAAAGCCUUUGACUGUGUGGAUCACAAUAUACUGUGGAAAAUUCUGAAAGAGAUGGGACUACCAGACCACCUGACCUGCCUCUUGAGAAAUCUGUAUGCAGGUCAGGAAGCAAUAGUUAGAACUGGACAUGGAACAACAGACUGGUUCCAAAUAGGAAAAGGAGUACAUCAAGGCUGUAUAUUGUCAGCCUGCUUAUUUAACUUCUAUGCAGAGUACAUCAUGAGAAACGUUGGGCUGGAAGAAACACAAGCUGGAAUCAAGAUUGCCUGGAGAAAUAUCAAUAAACUCAGAUAUGCAGAUGACACCACCCUUAUGGCAGAAAGUGAAGAGGAACUUAAAAGCCUCAUGAUGGAAGUGAAAAAGGAGAGUGAAAAAGUUGGCUUAAAGCUCAACAUUCAGAAAAUUAAGAUCAUGGCAUCUGGUCCCAUCACUUCAUGGGAAAUAGAUGGGGAAACAGUGGAAACAGUGUCAGACUUUAUUUUUGAGGGCUCCAGAAUCACUGCAGAUGGUGACUGCAGCCAUGAAAUUAAAAGAUGCUUACUCCUUGGAAGAAAAGUUAUGACCAACCUAGAUAGCAUAUUGAAAAGCAGAGACAUUACUUUGCCAACUAAAGUCCGUCUAGUCAAGGCUAUGGUUUUUCCUGUGGUCAUGUAUGGAUGUGAGAGUUGGAUCCUGAAGAAGGCUGAGUGCUGA
rnacentral:lncRNA from 1 species